GCGUAGGUAGUGCAACGGUUCAGCACAAGCCCCCGGAUAGGGUAAAAUGUGAGUUCGAAUCCCACCUGAUGCA